rnacentral:rRNA from 1 species
AACGAACGCUGGCGGCAUGCCUAACACAUGCAAGUCGAACGAGACCUUCGGAUCUAGUGGCAGACGGGUGAGGAACACGUGGGAACAUCCCUUUCAGUUCGGAAUAACGUUGGGAAACUAACGCUAAUACCGGAUACGUCCUUCGGGAGAAAGAUUUAUCGCUGAAAGAUUGGCCCGCGUCUGAUUAGCUAGUUGGUGAGGUAAUGGCUCACCAAGGCUACGAUCAGUAGCUGAUCUGAGAGGAUGAUCAGCCACAUUGGGACUGAGACACGGCCCAAACUCCUACGGGAGGCAGCAGUGGGGAAUAUUGGACAAUGGGCGCAAGCCUGAUCCAGCCAUGCCGCGUGAGUGAUGACGGCCUUCGGGUUGUAAAGCUCUUUUGUCCGGGAAGAUAAUGACUGUACCGGAAGAAUAAGCCCCGGCAAACUUCGUGCCAGCCGCCGCCGUAACAC